GAUGAACGCUAGCGGCAGGCUUAACACAUGCAAGUCGAGGGGCAGCACGAGGUAGCAAUACUUUGGUGGCGACCGGCGCACGGGUGCGUAACGCGUAUGCAACCUACCUUUAACAGGGGCAUAACACUGAGAAAUUGGUACUAAUUCCCCAUAACAUUCGAGAAGGCAUCUUCUUGGGUUAAAACUACCGGUGGUUAAAGAUGGCGAUGCGUUGUAUUAGUCUAGUUGGUUGAGGUAACGGACGUCACCAAGGCAACGAUACAUAGGGGGACGUGAGAGGUUAACCCCCCACCAUUGGUACUGAGACACGGACCAAACU
rnacentral:rRNA from 1 species